AGAUCGAUAGGGCUGCACAGAGGUGGCACAGUUGUGCCAGAGGUAGCAGGGACAGGAGGGCUGGCAAGGGAGGGUCCAGGGCUAGGGGAUUCGGAGUGGCUUCAGGCGGACCACGUGGCUACCUUUUUUCCAGGGCCAGACUUUGGCAGCGUGUAAGGUCUGAGGACAGGGGCACCGGAGGCCGAGGAUGAGAGGCCAGUGCCUGUUUCCAGGCAGCCAGGGCCUCAGAAACUCCGGCCGGAGCACUCACCCGUCGGUGGAGGCCGUUACCAGGGCCACCUUAUUUGCGAGCGGGUCCCGGCGGGUCAUCCCGGAGCUGGCCAUCCGCACCGAAUUCCAAGCCCGGGCACAGAGGCCUAGCAGCCCCGCCUUGUGCAUGGAUCAGACCAGCAAGUAUGGGUUCCACUCUUCCCAGGGGCGGUGACAGAGUAGGGCGAGGGGCAGGACGAAGGGCGGGCCGAUUCCCUGCCCGCCCUGCUCCCCGCCCCGGUACCGCUGUGAGCGGUCUGUGGCCCUGGGCACCUCCAUCCGCCGCGGCGCCCCUCCACCAUCUACCUUCCGCCUGACUGGGGCUUGCCUUUCCGGGCUGGCGGGUGAGCUCUCCGUUCAAGUUGCCUGUAGGGCUCGCCCCUCCCCUGGCCCUUGCAGGAACCCGCAGGCUUUGGCUGCUGCCUUUCUGCAUCUGCUUGCCCACCUUUUCUUCUCUGGGAAGUGGGGGUUUUGAGUUGGUUGCUUUUGCUUCUUCAGAAUUCCUUCUCCAAGAAAGUCUGGGUCUAUGUGUGUGACAGCCCACAGGAGGGCAAAUGUUUUGAGACUGCCCAUGGAGGUGAGGCCUGUGGUCGCCAUGGAGUCCACCAGGUGCCACUUCGGAUAAACCCUUUGGACUCCUAACUCCAAUCAGGUGUCUGCUUUGUUGAGGACUCACAGACACAGUCUCCUUUCUUCAAGAUCUUUACAAUGCAAGACCUCACUAACACACAGGGAUGGUCUCCCAGAGGGUCUGUGCUGUUCCUUCACUCAGAACAUCAAGAUGCACUGAAGUAAGGAUCCUCUAUUCUACAGUUCCUGCUAGCUGAGCUAUUCCAUGGGGGCUUCAGCAGGAAAUUCCAAGGUUGGCUUUGACAAGCUAAGGCCGGCUGGUGGAGCACAUCGAGUUCUGGAGGUUCAUGUGUGUUUUCAUGAAGAUCUGUCUGCCCGUAGCAGAUAAAGAGUUGUUGCCCCACUCCUCCUGGGGUCUUCUAUUUUCCUGGGAGGAAUUUCUGGAUUAACUGAACACACACACACACACACACACCCUUUUGAAGCAUCAACAGUAAUUCUGAGUUCUUAGGGACAAUGCAGAUUAAAUCCACAAUAAGAAAGACAACUAUGGCCAGGUGUGGUGGCUCACGCCUGUAAUCCCAGAACUUUGGGAGGCUGAGGCGGAUGGAUCACCUGAGGUCAGGAGUUAGAGACCAACCUGACCAACAUGGAGAAACCCCGUUUCUACUAAAAAUGCAAAAUUAGCCGGGCAUGGUGGCAGGCGCCUGUAAUCCCAAAUACUCGGGAGGCUGAGGCAGGAGAAUCACUUAAACCCGGGAGGCAGAGGUUGCAGUGAGCCAAGAUCGCGCCAUUGCACUCCAGCCUGGGCAAGAAGAGCAAAACUCCAUCUCAAAAAAAAAAAAAGAGUACUAUUGAUCCAGAGGUGACCAGACUAGCCUCACUGGAGAUAAUAGGUGACAUUAUUAUGCAAAGUGGUUUCAGUUCCCUUGUCUUGUUUUUGGAAUAGUAUAAGAGGCCUACAAUACGAAUAAAUAAGGCCCAUCACAAGCCUCACCAAAGGACAAAACUAAUCCACUUCUGAAGAAGGCUCUUUGUUGGGCCAGAUCAAAUCCUUGGACAGAACUGUACUCUUAAUCUCUGUAGUGAAAGUGGGGGGUAGUUUAAGAAUUUAUUAACCUUCUACCUUGAGCAAUCCCUCAGAAGUAAGAGGUGUCAGGCCUCUGAGCCGAAGCUCAGCCAUUGUAACCCCUGUGACCUGCACAUAUAUGUCCAGAUGGCCUGCAGGAGCCAAGAAGUCUGGGGCAGCUGAAAAACCACACAAGAAGUAAAACAGCCAGUUCCUGCCUUAACUGAUUAACCAACAUUACAACAUUCCACCAUUGUGACCUGUCCCUGUCCUACCUUAACUGAUCAAUCGACCUUGUGACAGUCUUCUUCUGGACAAUGGGUCUUAUCAUCUCCCCACCAUGUACCUUGUGACCCCCUCCUCUGCUAACAAUAGAUAACCACUUUUUACUGUAAUUUUCCAUUACCUACCCAACUCCUAUAAAGCAACCCCUUCCCCAUCUCCCUUCACUGACUCUGUUUUCAGACUCAGCCCACUUGCACUCAAGUGAAUAAACAGCCUUGUUGCUCACACAAAGCCUGUUGGUGGUCUCUUCACACAGAUGUGCUUGACAAAAGGGAAGGGUGGAUUUGUCCUUCUGGUUACAUAUGUUCUGCUCACUCAUUUUGAAUUUAAUUAAACAAGGAUUGCCCUUACCUUUUCAUACUUUGUAAGAAACCAUAAAUACUUAUGCACCAUGAUUUUUUUAAAGAAACACUUUUUAUUUUGAAGUAAUUAUAGUCUCAUAGGAAGUUGCAAAAGUAGUACAUAGAGUCCCUGAGUACUCUUCCCCCAGUGGUGACAACUGUAGUAUAAUAUCAAUUCUGGGAAAUUGACAUUGGUACAAUACCAAAUAUACUAUGCCUUUUUCUCUAAGGCAUGAUGUUGCAGUAGCAUCCUUGUACAUGUAGCUAGGAGAACUUGUACUAAGCCCAGAUAAAUAGUUGAAGUACAAGGGCAAGGAGUGUGUCUUUGAUAUUUUAAUAGAAAUCACCUAUUGCCCUCUAGAAAAGCUGUACCCUUUUCCAGUGGCAGAGAACCUUCCUGAAAGGCAGUCCUGUGUAAUGGUGUCCAUUUCAUCACACCCUUAAAACACUCAGCUUUAACAAACAUGCAGAUUUUUGCUGAUGUGGGAGAAAAUAUUAAUUAUUAAUGAUAUUAAGGUGAUUAUCUUUUCGUAUGUUUAUAGAUAUUUGUAUUUCUUUUUAAAUGAACUGCUCAUGACCUUUGUCUACUUUUAUUUGGGUUUACUUCUUUCUCAUUUAUUCCUAUAAACUCUUUAUAAAAGGAAAUUAACCAUUUGAUUGUCAUAUGUUGUGAAUAUUUUUACCAUUUUGACUUUUGAAUUUAUGUCUUUUUAAUGAAUUGUAGAAGUUUAAAAUCUUUAUGGAAUAAAUUUAUUU
ensembl:lncRNA DHRS4-AS1 DHRS4 antisense RNA 1